rnacentral:rRNA from 1 species
GUUAAGUCAGGCAACGAGCGAGACCCACGCCCACAGUUGCCAGCGUACUCUCUGGAGUGACGGGUACACUGUGGGGACCGCCGCUGCUAAAGCGGAGGAAGGAAUGGGCAACGGUAGGUCAGUAUGCCCCGAAUAUCCCGGGCUACACGCGAGCUACAAUGGUUGGUACAAUGGGUAUCUACCCCGAAAGGGGACGGGAAUCUCCUAAACCCAUCCGUAGUUCGGAUUGUGGGCUGCAACUCGCCCACAUGAAGCUGGAAUCUGCAGUAAUCGUGUCUCAAAAUGGCACGGUGAAUAUGUCCCUGCUCCUU